rnacentral:rRNA from 1 species
UACGUAGGGGGCAAGCGUUGUCCGGAAUCAUUGGGCGUAAAGCGCGUGUAGGCGGCCCGGUAAGUCCGCUGUGAAAGUCCAGGGCUCAACCCUGGAAUGCCGGUGGAUACUGUCGGGCUCGAGUCCGGAAGAGGCGAGUGGAAUUCCUGGUGUAGCGGUGAAAUGCGCAGAUAUCAGGAGGAACACCGAUUGCGAAGGCAGCUCGCUGGGACGUAACUGACGCUGAGACGCGAAAGCGUGGGGAGCAAACAGG